GAUGAACGCUGGCGGCGUGCCUAAUACAUGCAAGUCGAGCGAACAGACGAGGAGCUUGCUCCUCUGACGUUAGCGGCGGACGGGUGAGUAACACGUGGAUACCCUACCUAUAAGACUGGGAUAACUUCGGGAAACCGGAGCUAAUACCGGAUAAUAUAUUGAACCGCAUGGUUCAAUAGUGAAAGACGGUUUUGCUGUCACUUAUAGAUGGAUCCGCGCCGCAUUAGCUAGUUGGUAAGGUAACGGCUUACCAAGGCAACGAUGCGUAGCCGACCUGAGAGGGUGAUCGGCCACACUGGAACUGAGACACGGUCCAGACUCCUACGGGAGGCAGCAGUAGGGAAUAUUGCGCAAUGGGCGAAAGCCUGACGGAGCAACGCCGCGUGAGUGAAGAAGGUCUUCGGAUCGUAAAACUCUGUUAUUAGGGAAGAACAAAUGUGUAAGUAACUAUGCACGUCUUGACGGUACCUAAUCAGAAAGCCACGGCUAACUACGUG
rnacentral:rRNA from 1 species